rnacentral:rRNA from 1 species
UUCGCAAUGCCCGAAAGGGUGACGAAGCGACGCCGCGUGUGGGAAGAAGGCCUUCGGGUUGUAAAGCUCUGUCGAGGGUUAUGAAAUAUAGAUGGGUUAAUACCCCAUUUAUUUGACAAAAGCCCAAAAGGAAGCCACGGCUAACUCUGUGCCAGCAGCCGCGGUAAUACAGAGGUGGCGAGCGUUGUUCGGUAUUAUUGGGCGUAAAGAGCACGUAGGUGGUUUUGUAAGUCAGGUGUGAAAGCCUUCUGUUCAAAGGAAGAACGGCAUCUGAAACUGCAGAUCUUGAGUGUAGGAGGGGAGAGUGGAACUUCUGGUGGAGCGGUGAAAUGCGUAGAUAUCAGAAGGAACGUCGGCGGCGAAAGCGACUCUCUGGCCUAUUACUGACACUGAGGUGCGAAAGUUAGGGGAGCAAACGGGGUUAGAUACCCCGGUAGUCCUAACCGUAAACGAUGGGCACUAAGUAGAGGGGUUUU